rnacentral:lncRNA from 1 species
CUGCAGGUGGCCUCCAGGUGCAAAGUGGGAAGUGUGAGUCCUCAGUCUUGGGCUAUUCGGCCACGUGCCUGCCGGACAUGGGACGCUGGAGGGUCAGCAGCGUGGAGUCCUGGCCUUUUGCGUCCACGGGUGGGAAAUUGGCCAUUGCCACGGCGGGAACUGGGACUCAGGCUGCCCCCCGGCCGUUUCUCAUCCGUCCACCGGACUCGUGGGCGCUCGCACUGGCGCUGAUGUAGUUUCCUGACCUCUGACCCGUAUUGUCUCCAGAUUAAAGGUACGACAUUUGGAGGCCCCAGCGAGAAACGUCACCGGGAGAAACGUCACCGGGCGAGAGCCGGGCCCGCUGUGUGCUCCCCCGGAAGGACAGCCAGCUUGUAGGGGGGAGUGCCACCUGAAAAAAAAAUUUCCAGGUCCCCAAAGGGUGACCGUCUUCCGGAGGACAGCGGAUCGACUACCAUGUGGGUGCCCACAAAAAUUCCACCUCUGAGUCCUCAACUGCUGACCCCGGGGUCAGGUCCAGAUUUUGAACAAAUCUCGCUAGAGAUUGAACAGAGCUGCGCCUGGAUCCCGCCACAGUGAGGAGACCUGAAGACCAGAGAAAACACAGCAAGUAGGCCCUUUAAACUACUCACCUGUGUUGUCUUCUAAUUUAUUCUGUUUUAUUUUGUUUCCAUCAUUUUAAGGGGUUAAAAUCAUCUUGUUCAGACCUCAGCAUAUAAAAUGACCCAUCUGUAGACCUCAGGCUCCAACCAUACCCCAAGAGUUGUCUGGUUUUGUUUAAAUUACUGCCAGGUUUCAGCUGCAGAUAUCCCUGGAAGGAAUAUUCCAGAUUCCCUGAGUAGUUUCCAGGUUAAAAUCCUAUAGGCUUCUUCUGUUUUG